GGAGACUGGGAAGCUAGUCUCUCUGUGUGUGUGAUAGUAUAUAAUAAAGAUGGUGAACUGAUAACAGCCUGUCUGCAUUACUGAGAUAUAACAAUGGCGACAAGGACAUCUGAACCCUCUGUGCAUCCCCCUGAAAAGUUUCUGCAGCACCCAGGACAGCCUGCAGUGUCUUGGGAUCUCUGGCUAUCUCUCAGGGAGCUCACAGACCAUCGACGGUUCAGGGUAAAAGAUGCAUGAAAAUAGAUCCCUUUCGCUAAAAUUUGCAAAGGAAGGCAUUUCCCUAUGAUUAAGCCAAUCACCAAAACAGGCGUUCACCUACACAGAGGGAAGCACCAGCACUACAAUCAGUUAAAGUAAAAGAUGAUGUACCAUUUUUAUAUCACACACCAAUAAAGUUUUUAACUAAC